rnacentral:misc_RNA from 1 species
GGGGGUUUUUGCUGCCUUCUGGCGGCUCCCCUUAAAUGAAUCGGUCGGGCUUUCGUGUGGCUUGUCCCUUGGCGUUGUAUCAACCUCGUCGCUGGAUGGCUCGCGAGCUUAGCGCCCCUCCAAGACCAGCCUCUGGAGCGGCGGUCAACUUCAAUUUGUGAUCUGACCUCAAAUCAGGUAGGACUACCCGCUGAACUUAA